rnacentral:tmRNA from 1 species
GGGGCUGAUUCUGGAUUCGACGGGAUUUGCGAAACCCAAGGUGCAUGCCGAGGGGCGGUUGGCCUCGUAAAAAGCCGCAAAAAAUAGUCGCAAACGACGAAAACUACGCUUUAGCAGCUUAAUAACCUGCUUAGAGCCCUCUCUCCCUAGCCUCCGCUCUUAGGACGGGGAUCAAGAGAGGUCAAACCCAAAAGAGAUCGCGUGGAAGCCCUGCCUGGGGUUGAAGCGUUAAAAGUUAAUCAGGCUAGUUUGUUAGUGGCGUGUCCGUCCGCAGCUGGCAAGCGAAUGUAAAGACUGACUAAGCAUGUAGUACCGAGGAUGUAGGAAUUUCGGACGCGGGUUCAACUCCCGCCAGCUCCACCA